CAUAGGGCAGAUGGCCUUUAGCCACGAGGAUGGACCUUCAGUGUGGGAUCACCUGAGCCAUGGGAGACCUGACUGCUCCCCUGUGAAGGUGACUCAACAACCUUGAGCAGAGUCCCCAAGAAAUCCCACCAUCUACCCACUGAGACUCCCACCAUCUCUGUCAAGUGACCCAGUGAUAAUUGGCUGCUUGAUUCAUGAUUACUUCCCAUCCGGAACUAUGAAUGUGACCUGGGACAAGAGUGGGAAGGAUAUAACCACCAUAAAUUUCCCACCUGCCCUGAGCUCUGGGGGAAGGUACACCAUGUGCAGCCAGUUGACCCUGCCAGCUGAAGAGUGCCCAGAAAAAGCAUCUGUGAAAUGCUCUGUGCAACAUGACUCUAACCCCGUCCAAGAAUUGGAAGUGGAGUGCCAUGGUCCAAGUGAUUGUCCUAUUUGUCCUUCACCAACCUGCCAUCCCAGCCUGUCACUGCAGCGGCCAGCUCUUGAGGACCUGCUCCUGGGUUCAGAUGCCAGCCUCACAUGUACUCUGAGUGGCCUGAAAAGUCCUGAGGGAGCCGUCUUCACCUGGGAACCCACUACCGGGAAGGAUGCAGUGCAGAAGAAAGCUGUGCAGGACUCGUGCGGCUGCUACAGUGUGUCCAGCGUCCUGCCUGGCUGUGCUGAGCGCUGGAACAGUGGAGCACCAUUCAAAUGCACAGUUACCCAUCCUGAGUCUGAGACCUCCUUAACUGGCACAAUUGCCAAAGACACAGUGAACACCUUCCCACCCCAGGUCCACCUGCUACCGCCGCCGUCGGAGGAGCUGGCCCUGAAUGAGCUCGUGUCCCUGACAUGCCUGGUGCGAGGAUUCAACCCUAAAGAAGUGCUGAUCCGCUGGCUGCAUGGAAAUGAAGAGCUGUCCCCUGGAAGCUACCUAGUGUUUGAGCCCCUACAGGAGCCAGGAGACGGAGCCACCACCUACCUUGUGACAAGCGUGCUGCGUGUGUCAGCCGAAACCUGGAAACAGGGUGACCAGUACUCCUGCAUGGUGGGCCACGAGGCCUUGCCCAUGAACUUCACCCAGAAGACCAUCGACCGUCUGUCGGGUAAACCCACCAACGUCAACGUGUCUGUGAUCAUGUCAGAGGGAGAUGGCAUCUGCUACUGAGCCACCCUGCCUAUCCCUACUCCUUAAAUAAACUCUGUGCUCAUCCAAAGUA